rnacentral:rRNA from 1 species
GACGAACGCUGGCGGCGUGCUUAACACAUGCAAGUCGAACGGAAAGGCCCUGCUUUUGUGGGGUGCUCGAGUGGCGAACGGGUGAGUAACACGUGAGUAACCUGCCCUUGACUUUGGGAUAACUUCAGGAAACUGGGGCUAAUACCGGAUAUGAGCUCCUGCUGCAUGGUGGGGGUUGGAAAGUUUCGGCGGUUGGGGAUGGACUCGCGGCUUAUCAGCUUGUUGGUGGGGUAGUGGCUUACCAAGGCUUUGACGGGUAGCCGGCCUGAGAGGGUGACCGGCCACAUUGGGACUGAGAUACGGCCCAGACUCCUACGGGAGGCAGCAGUGGGGAAUAUGGCACAAUGGGCGGAAGCCUGAUGCAGCAACGCCGCGUGCGGGAUGACGGCCUUCGGGUUGUAAACCGCUUUCGCCUGUGACGAAGCGUGAGUGACGGUAAUGGGUAAAGAAGCACCGGCUAACUACGUG